rnacentral:rRNA from 1 species
AAUGGGGGAAACCCUGAUCCAGCAAUGCCGCGUGAGUGAUGAAGGCCCUAGGGUUGUAAAACUCUUUCAGAAGUGAAGAUGAUGACGGUAACUUCAGAAGAAGCUCCGGCUAACUCCGUGCCAGCAGCCGCGGUAAUACGGAGGGAGCUAGCGUUGUUCGGAAUUACUGGGCGUAAAGAGCGUGUAGGCUGUUAGGUAAGUCAGAGGUGAAAUCCCUAAGCUCAACUUAGGAACUGCCUUUGAUACUAUCUUACUAGGGAUCGAGAGAAGUUAGCGGAAUUCCAAGUGUAGAGGUGAAAUUCGUAGAUAUUUGGAAGAACACCAGUGGCGAAAGCGGCUAACUGGCUCGUAUCUGACGCUGAGACGCGAAAGCGUGGGUAGCAAACAGGAUU